rnacentral:rRNA from 1 species
AGCUCCAAUAGCGUAUAUUAAAGUUGUUGCAGUUAAAAAGCUCGUAGUUGGAUUUCGGAGUGGCACGGCCGGUCCGCCGCAAGGUGUGUUACUGGCCGGGCCGCUCUUCUUCGCAAAGACUGCGUGUGCUCUUGACUGAGUGUGCGUAGGACUUGUGACGUUUACUUUGAAAAAAUUAGAGUGUUCAAAGCAGGCCAGCGCUUGAAUACAUAAGCAUGGAAUAAUGGAAUAGGACUUUGGUUCUAUUUUGUUGGUUUCUGGAACCGAAGUAAUGAUUAAAAGGGACAGUUGGGGGCAUUCGUAUUUCGUUGUCAGAGGUGAAAUUCUUGGAUUUACGAAAGACGAACUACUGCGAAAGCAUUUGCCAAGAAUGUUUUCAUUA